UCACUGGUCUGAUUUUCAUACUGCUAGAAUGCUUGCAUGGAAAUGCGUCACAUCAGUUAUGAACCUUUACAAUAAAACAUGACACCUGAAAUUCAGGAACAUGAUUCGCAAAGGAUUCAUUACUUUAUACAAAAAAAAAAUAUAUUUGUGGAGAGUGACUUAACACUGGGAA
rnacentral:lncRNA from 1 species